CCAAACAGCCCCGAAUUCUGUAACCCCCAAACAGCUCCGAGUCCUGUAACCCCCAGAUAGUCCCGGGUCCUGUGACCCCCAAACAGCCCCGAACAGCCUCGGGUCCUGUAACCCCCAAACAGCCCCAGGUCCUGUGACCCCCAAACAGCCCUGAACAGCCCCGGGUCCUGCCGCUGUGGGGACUUCACGGUCGUUCGGUCCGUUCAGCUCUCGAGGGCGACACAGAGCCCUGAGCACAACCAGUACAGCCCAGCACCACCCCAGCACCACCCCAGCACCCUGAAACAGCCCAGCAGCACAGCAGCAGCACAGCAGCACCCCGUGCACAACACCAACACCCUGGGAAACAGCCCAGCACUACACCAGCACCCUGUGCACAACCAGCACCACACCAGCACCUCACCAGUACCCUGGGAAACAGCCCAGUCACACCAGUACCACACCAGCACCACACCAGAACCCUGAAACAGCCCAGCACCAGCCCAGUACCCCGGGGUACAGCCCAGCACCCUGUGAGCCAGCAGGCAGGGCACUUUCAAAUCCCUUUUUUUUCAACCCUAAAGUGGAAGGCUGGACUAGAAACCCUCUGGCUUUUCUGGAAGUUCACUUUAGAUUCAGUUUUGCAGCUGAUCAUGGCUGGAGGUGUUAAGCUUUGGUGCUGGCCGUGGCUCACCUCGUGCAGGGACGAGGCAUUUCAGCCCCUGUGAGCCCUUGGUUACUCACAGCCGUUUACAAACUGCCUGAAAACAUUGACUGGCUCUAAACUUCAGUCCUCCAUCCACAAGAAGUGCCAAAAAAAGUUUGUCCACUCUUCAAAUUAUAGGAUCGUGUGGUUCUGUGGUUUUCUGUGGUAGAAGCUCUGUGGUUUCUAAAGCUAUUUUGUGCACCUCUAACACAGAGUAGCUGUUAGGCUUUGCUCAAAUUGAAUUUUCAAAGCCAGAAUCCCAAGCUCUAGCAAUUUCUUCUGCUAUAUUUAAAUGAAACAACUACAACAAAGUCAUGUAGCCACUGCUAUAGCAACUAGCAGUGUUGGGGGGAAACAGAGAGAGAAAAAUUCAGUCCAAACCCCCCAUAAUUUAGCAGGGAGAAAGCUGUCCCCAUUGCUACCAUCAGAAACCUACUUGGUGGCACCUACAAACCUUAAAAUUCCUUCUUGUCCUUGAAGCAGCUGUUCUCAGCUGGGUCUGCCACAGGCCCCACCUGCCCAGGACAUGUCCUGGGGGCCAGGAGUGGAGCAGGCAGAGCUCCUGAACUCUGGCCCUGCAGCAGCUCCUCUGCCAUGGCCCAGGAUUCGGCACAAACAGGAUUCCCAUGGAUUUGGAGAGUAGGGAAUGGGUUUACAAGCCAAACACCAGUAACCUACAGCACGUGGCCAUGCUCAGUUCACAGGGCCUGGAGGACGGGAGGAACUGGGUUGGGAGUCGUGCCUGUGUGUGACACAACGCAGCCAAAUCCUGGCUCCAGAAUGUCAACACUCCAAAAAUAUUGCUGGAGACCAACCUGCCUUGGCAACCUGCUGGAACCAGCCCAGCUGGUGCUCCCCUGGUGCAGGAGCAGAGUCAGUAAACAGCGGGAGCACAGUGAGUCAAAGUCAGACUGGAGAAUAUUAAAAGGGACACCAGAAGAGGACUCUGUAAUUGUAACAGCAGGAGGAACCACAGUCACUGUGAGUUUUCCUUUAGAAGUUAAACUUAAAGGGGAAGGCAGAAGUUGGAAAAAUGAAAAUUCCAUUUUAUAACAAAUUAGCCUUUAUUUAUAAAACUUUCAAGUAAAAAGAGCAGUAUAUCAACUGAUCAAGCAGGUGUGUCAAUGAAUAACAGUUAACAUAUUUACUCUAAAAAUAAAUCUGUGAUUCCACCACAUUCCAAGCAAAAUUCCUUUCUAAGAAAAGAUGGGUGUUGUGAAGUGUAAAGAGAUGCAAUGGUUGACACACACCAAAAACUUGGCUGUUCCACUAGUGUAGGAACACAAUUGAAUUAGAUCAUUAAUAGCACAGAUCAAUUCACUUCAACAGAGUUCCAGCUCUAAACAAGGAUUAAACAGAAAUGAAAUUCCUGAGAGGGAGGAAAAAAAAAUGCAGAAGAAAGGAGAAAUCAAACUCUUACACGAGGGAAAGCAACAACUCUACUUGGACCAAAACUCCUUGGGCCACAGUUCUACAGAAUAAAUAUUCUUCUCAAUGGAGAAACACUAAAGAAGAAAUAGUAACCCCAAAAGGAUUAUAAGAAGAAUCCAAGAAAAGUGCAUUAUCGUUGAGCAUAAGAUGACAAAAUAACUUCUACAAAAUUUCUGCCACCAGAUUUCACAGACAGGAAUUUAAAAUAAAAUAAAAUAAUAAUAAAAAAAAAAGGGUUACACAGACACAGCUUGGAAUUUCCUACACUUUGAGGGCACAGUACAUGGAAUAAAAUCCAGGGAGGACUGAUGGCCCUCACAGGGCAGAGGUUCCACGAGGAAAAAAUGUGCCUGUAUAAAAAUACUUCAUCCAGCACUACUGUGGAAGGAGGAUUUUCAUGAGCAUCUGGUUUUAUUGCAGGAUGACUGGGAGGUUUUACAAGGAGACAGUUGGAAGGUGACUGAGGGAAAUGUGAGCACACAGGGCUGGGAGGGCUCGGGUGGGAGCUCAGGACCUGUGUCCUACGUGCAUGUGCAGGCCCAGGUGGGUAAUUGUCUGUCUGUCCUGUUUAACUGUUGUGCCUCAGUGUUCUGUGCAAUCCAGGCCUUCCCAUGAGUCAUCCCAGUGAUGAUAUUCCCUAUAAAACACACGUGUGCCACCAUAAAACCUGCUCAGUUCUCAGUGAUUGCUCAAGGUACCACGAGUCUAAUUCCAUUUAUCUUUAGUUAGAAGGUAGAAUCACCUCCACUCUUUCCCCAAAGCCAAGAAUGCAAUGGGUAAUCCUUCCUGAAGUGGAAAUGGAGGAAAAACAGAGUUGGAAUCCAGAUGACAAUUAUGUGCAACCAACUGAACUGGAAUGAAGCAAGAAAAACAUGUUUUUCACCUCUGCCUGUGACUGUCUGGGGGAUGUGUGUGUGUAUGGGAACAGCUCCUUAAAAAUAGUUUUUUGAAAAGGAAAAAAAAAAAGGAAAGAGAGAAGUGAAACUACAAGCAAAUGGAGGAGAAAACUCACUGCCUCAGCCCAGAGAAAAAAGAAAAGAUGACAUGAGCAUCACAUGUGAGAUCAGCAGUUGAGCCCAGAUUCCACAAGACACUUUAAAAACUCCAAAGAAUGUGAAAUCACAUCCAGUGCAGAUGAUUCCUACUUUCUGCCAGGUUUCUCCUACACUUGGCACAGCUAAUAAACACAGUUUUUCAUGCCAAUGAAAGAAAUAUCGAAACAAAAUCGAUUAAAAAUAAUUUCUCCUGUUUUUUUUUUCCUUUCUUUCUUUCACCAGAACUUUGAAAUUCUCAGAGCCACGAGCUAACCUGUGUUUCUGUACAAAUUCCAUUUCUGUACCCAUCCCUGGUUACAGAAUCCACACACACACACACACAACUUCAAUAUGUAGAAUAUAUCUGCAUAUUCCACAUAUUCAUUGUAUAUACACAGUUUAUGUACAGCACAAAGAACUAUUUACUGGACAGAGCAUGUGGACAUGUGGAGUAUAUACACACACUAUUAUUACAUUAUACAAUACACUAUAUAUAUAUAUACACAUAGACACAGAUAAUAUGGGUCUCACUGUACACUGUAUAUGCA